GACGUAGGGUGCAAGCGUUGUCCGGAUUUUACUGGGGCGUAAAGAGCGCGUAGGCGGGCUCGUUAAGUGUGAAGUGAAAUCUCCAGGGCUCAACCCGGAAACCGCUUCGCAUACUGGCGAGCUUGAGGAAUGCAGAGGUUAGUGGAAUUCCUGGUGUAGCGGUGAAAAUGCGUUGAUAUCAGGGAGGGAACACCCCUGGGCGAAAGGCAGCUAACUGGGCAUUAU
rnacentral:rRNA from 1 species